GCACUUUAAGCGAGGAGGAGGCUACUUUAGAUAAUACCUAGAGAUAGUGGACGUUACUCGCAGAAUAAGCACCGGCUAACUCUGUGCCAGCAGCCGCGGUAAUACAGAGGGUGCAAGCGUUAAUCGGAUUUACUGGGCGUAAAGCGCGCGUAGGCGGCUAAUUAAGUCAAAUGUGAAAUCCCCGAGCUUAACUUGGGAAUUGCAUUCGAUACUGGUUAGCUAGAGUGUGGGAGAGGAUGGUAGAAUUCCAGGUGUAGCGGUGAAAUGCGUAGAGAUCUGGAGGAAUACCGAUGGCGAAGGCAGCCAUCUGGCCUAACACUGACGCUGAGGUGCGAAAGCAUGGGGAGCAAACAGGAUUAGAUACCCUGGUAGUCCAUGCCGUAAACGAUGUCUACUAGCCGUUGGGGCCUUUGAGGCUUUAGUGGCGCAGCUAACGCGAUAAGUAGACCGCCUGGGGAGUACGGUCGCAAGACUAAAACUCAAAUGAAUUGACGGGGGCCCGCACAAGCGGUGGAGCAUGUGGUUUAAUUCGAUGCAACGCGAAGAACCUUACCUGGCCUUGACAUAGUAAGAACUUUCCAGAGAUGGAUUGGUGCCUUCGGGAACUUACAUACAGGUGCUGCAUGGCUGUCGUCAGCUCGUGUCGUGAGAUGUUGGGUUAAGUCCCGCAACGAGCGCAACCCUUUUCCUUAUUUGCCAGCGAGUAAUGUCGGGAACUUUAAGGAUACUGCCAGUGACAAACUGGAGGAAGGCGGGGACGACGUCAAGUCAUCAUGGCCCUUACGGCCAGGGCUACACACGUGCUACAAUGGUCGGUACAAAGGGUUGCUACACAGCGAUGUGAUGCUAAUCUCAAAAAGCCGAUCGUAGUCCGGAUUGGAGUCUGCAACUCGACUCCAUGAAGUCGGAAUCGCUAGUAAUCGCGGAUCAGAAUGCCGCGGUGAAUACGUUCCCGGGCCUUGUACACACCGCCCGUCACACCAUGGGAGUUUGUUGCACCAGAAGUAGCUAGCCUAACUGCAAAGAGGGCGG
rnacentral:rRNA from 1 species